rnacentral:rRNA from 1 species
CUGUACUUAGCCCAAAACAAAUACAAUUUAAUUAUCAACUCUGUUUAAAACAAAACAUUUAAUAUACCUUAAAGUAUAGGAGAUAGAAAUUUUAAUUUGGCGCUAUAGAGAAAGUACCGCAAGGGAAUAAUGAAAGAAAGCACCAAAGCAAUAAAUAGCAAAGACUACCCCUUGUACCUUUUGCAUAAUGAAUUAACUAGAAUAACUUAGCAAAGAGAACUUAAGUUAAAUGCCCCGAAACCAAACGAGCUACUUAUGAGCAGCCCUAUAGAGCAAACUCAUCUAUGUGGCAAAAUAGUGAGAAGACUUGUAAGUAGUGGUGAAAAGCCUAUCGAGUCUGGUGAUAGCUGGUUAUCCAGUAAAAGAAUAUCAGUUCAAACUUAAGCCUACCUACAAAAUUUACAAUUCAACUGUAGACUUAAAGUAUAAUCUAAAGAGGGACAGCUCUUUAGAUACAGGUUACAACCUUGGCUAGAGAGUAAGUACACAAACAGACCAUAGUUGGCUUAAAAGCAGCCACCAAUAAAGAAAGCGUUCAAGCUCGACAACUCAACUAUCUCAAUCUCAACAAUCAACACUAACUCCUACCAUAAACUACUGGAUUAUUCUAUAAUUAUAUAGAAGAGAUACUGUUAAUAUGAGUAACAAGAAAAAUUUCUCCCCCGCAUAAACCUAUAUCAGAACGGAUACCCACUGAUAGUUAACACAUAUAAAGUAGAUCAAAUGACAAGCUCUUUAUCUUGAAUUCGUUAACCCAACACAGGAAUGCCUUCAGGGAAAGAUUAAAAGGAGUAAAAGGAACUCGGCAAACAUAAACCCCGCCUGUUUACCAAAAACAUCACCUCUAGCAUUAUUAGUAUUAGAGGCACUGCCUGCCCAGUGACACACGUUUAACGGCCGCGGUAUCCUGACCGUGCAAAGGUAGCAUAAUCACUUGUUCUCUAAAUAAGGACUUGUAUGAAUGGCCACACGAGGGUUUUACUGUCUCUUACUCCCAAUCAGUGAAAUUGACCUUCCCGUGAAGAGGCGGGAAUGCUAUAAUAAGACGAGAAGACCCUAUGGAGCUUUAAUUAACUAGUCCAAGAAGAUUAUUAACCUUACCAACAGGCACAAAACAAUCUCAAAUGGACCAGCAAUUUAGGUUGGGGUGACCUCGGAGCAUAACUCACCCUCCGAGUACUAUAAGCCUAGACUCACUAGUCAAAGCUAAUAUUAUUAACUGAUCCAAAACCAAUUUGAUCAACGGAACAAGUUACCCUAGGGAUAACAGCGCAAUCCUAUUCAAGAGCUCAUAUCGACAAUAGGGUUUACGACCUCGAUGUUGGAUCAGGACAUCCCAAUGGUGCAGCAGCUAUUAACGGUUCGUUUGUUCAACGAUUAAAGUCCUACGUGAUCUGAGUUCAGACCGGAGUAAUCCAGGUCGGUUUCUAUCUAUUUUACGUCUCUUCCAGUACGAAAGGACAAAAGAGACGGGGCCUCCUUAACCUAAGCGCCCCCCCCCCAACAAAUGAUCCAAUCUCAAUUUUGGUAUACAAACAAACAACUUGCCCCUAAACCAGGGCUC